UACGAAGGGGGCUAGCGUUGCUCGGAAUUACUGGGCGUAAAGCGCACGUAGGCGGCUUCUUAAGUCGGUGGUGAAAUCCUGGAGCUCAACUCCAGAACUGCCUUCGAUACUGGGAAGCUCGAGUUCGGGAGAGGUGAGUGGAACUGCGAGUGUAGAGGUGAAAUUCGUAGAUAUUCGCAAGAACACCAGUGGCGAAGGCGGCCAACUGGUCCGGUACUGACGCUGAGGUGCGAAAGCGUGGGGAGCAAACAGGG
rnacentral:rRNA from 1 species